AGCCUGGCUGGUGCCCUCGGCAUGGAACUGAGCCGCAGCACGUUGAGCUUGGUUUGCUCAGAGCUGUGGGACUGCUGGAACGCCCAGGGGCACACGGACAGCUGCAUUUUCUUGUAAAAAGCAGCACUGCGUGCUGUACACGCUGUAACAACAAUACCACUGAAGCAAGAGGUCACAUUGAUCCACGCUGGAGUUCACCAGUACUACGCUUUGCACUGAGAGUUUGCAUCCAACAGCACUGUGAUGAUAGGCCUGGAUGACCACGCUGAGUAGAAUUGUCUCCUACCAGGAGUUCUUGCUGUUAGUGAGAAGAGCACUAAGUGGGUCUUUAGUACAGAAAGGAAGUGCAAUCUUUGUUACCUCCCUCAGUCUUCCUUCUCGAACACUUGCCUGCUGAAGCCUGGGAGAGACCUUUGGUAACCGUUACUUGCCGUGGAGAGCAGCUGACACCUGUCAAAGGACUGAUAAAGAGCCCUGGACGAGAGCAGCUGUGCCUUUCUGCAUGGAGGCGAAGAGGAUAAAGGGAAGAACAGACACACCAAUACCAGACUUCCUUUCACCGAUCAUCACCGUAUGGAUUUUCUCCACUUGCCAGAUACACUUAAACUAAAUUACUCAAGCUGCAGAAGAAUUUCUCUUCUCAUUGGAAUCAACCCUUGGCUGCAGUGGAGAGAAAGGAUGUCUGAAAGUCUGCAUUAUGAUUUCGUUGUGGGAUCAGAUAGAAGUUGAGGAUGCAGCUGAGAGAAUGAAAGGUUUUAAUCUCGGGCUAAUCGUAGUGGUAGCUGGCAAAAAUGGGCAGUGAAUGAGGGCUUUAUUAAAAUAUGUUCUCAGGUGUCAGUGUUGGUUUCUGUCAGAUCUCUAACACGUAGCAAAACUGUUUGAGGCGUGAAUGCAGAAGAGGCUUAAACCUUUGGAAGAGACUCUCAAAGCCAGCAGGAACACCCUGGUAGGGUUUUUUUUCCUUGAGUCCUGUUGGUUUUCUUUUCAGCGUUCCUCUUUGCCAGAUUUUUAGUUCAGGGGAAUGCAUCCUGUCCUGCAGUGUCACCCCCAGGACGCUGGGGUUUGCUCGCUGAGCUCGCGGCGUGCAGCGCGUGCGAUGCCUGAGGCCAGUUGGUCGCAGCAGCUGAUGCCUCUCCUUCGUGCUGCAGUGAGGACGGGGCUGGCUGGAGGGAGCACUGCUGGAGCAGCGUGGAAAUAGGGACCUGCCCCCUGGUAGGAACCACACAGCUGUAACAGGUAACUGCAGAAAUAGGGAAUGACAACAAUGCGUUACCAUUAACAAGGCAUUCUGCAAAUAAAAGGCAGGUACCCCUUCAGCUGUUGGCAUUACGCCGAGGGGAGCUGGGGCACAGUUUUCAAGAACCAUCAGUUCCGAGUUCAUGAGAACCGUCUGCAGCAAACGGCCAAGCAGGGUGUAGCAUUGCUGAGGGGAUUGGGUAGAAAGCUGGUGCUCUGGGGAUGUGGAGCCUGCCGUUACCUUUGACAUCUGCGGUAUUAUUUCAGUUCACUGCUUGCUUUCUACGUGCGUUGGUUUCCUUUUUUUGCAGGGUAAAUCUGAGGACUUCAGGCUGUAAGUGUGACCGAGGAAAAAAGCACAGCACAGGGAGGUUGGGAUGGGAAGGAUGGGGUUAGCUGAGCACUCCUAAAGGAGGUUUGCCAGAGGUGUCGCAGAGCUAGGUGAAGGCUUCACUUUGUCCUGCCUUGGUGCAGAAGGAGAGAAGAUACGGCCCUAGCUUUCAGCCACAGGAAAUGCAAAGAUAGAAGUGCGGGUAGCUUGAUAAACAAGGACAGGAGCCGUAAUUAGUGCUGGGAAAGCACCCUCGUGUUCUCCGGGCCUCCUCGUGGAGCCGUGCGGUGCCAGCCAACGGCAGAGGAGCCACAGGUUGGUGCCAGCGAUUCAUAUCCACUCGGUGGAGUUGCUUUGAGAUUUGCAGAUGAUACAACUGCUAAGUGCUGUUAUUAAUGUUUCAAAGCUUCUGGCUCCCGUUUCCAUAUGUGGAUCAUCAGGCUGUCUUCCCUUGCCAUUUUAAAAUAAUUGGACGACCUGAAUAUCUUCGAAGUAGCUUGAGUUGUUGCUCAGGCACAGGCUUUACAAAUGAAAUCUUUCAUCUGAUACACUUAAUGUUAAUUUUCCUUCUGUAAUGGGAUUCUCUUUACCCAAAUUUACAUGAUCGAGCUUGCAGCCUGUUGGAGAUGUUCUUCUCUUCCAGUGGUAAAUGUGCCCGAGCAUCUCGCAGUAUGUGGUGAGAAACACGUAGGUAGCUGCUCGUGUGUCAUGCGCCUCCGCGGGCAGAUAAACAAUGAGGGGUUUGUGCGGUUGUUGCUCCAACAAUACUUCAGAAAAGCGCCGGCCCGCCUGGCUGUCACUUCUGUUGUUGUACUUUGCUCUUGGUGACAUCACUGGUGGCAGCUAAAUGAAGUGUGUUAAUUGUUAGAUGCUCUGUGACCAAGGAUGU